AACGAACGCUGGCGGCAUGCCUAACACAUGCAAGUCGAACGAUACCUUCGGGUCUAGUGGCGCACGGGUGCGUAACGCGUGGGAAUCUGCCUUUGGGUUCGGAAUAACAGUUGGAAACGACUGCUAAUACCGGAUGAUGACGUAAGUCCAAAGAUUUAUCGCCCAAGGAUGAGCCCGCGUAGGAUUAGCUAGUUGGUGAGGUAAAGGCUCACCAAGGCGACGAUCCUUAGCUGGUCUGAGAGGAUGAUCAGCCACACUGGGACUGAGACACGGCCCAGACUCCUACGGGAGGCAGCAGUGGGGAAUAUUGGACAAUGGGCGAAAGCCUGAUCCAGCAAUGCCGCGUGAGUGAUGAAGGCCUUAGGGUUGUAAAGCUCUUUUACCCGGGAUGAUAAUGACAGUACCGGGAGAAUAAGCUCCGGCUAACUCCGUG
rnacentral:rRNA from 1 species